AAGAAGAAAAAAAAAAAAAACAAAACAAAACAAAAGGGAAGGCAAUCAACGUCUUCCCCAGCCCAUUCCUCCCAAGACUCUGUCUUCAAUCCCACAUCAACAAGGGUUUUCGAGUGAAUGCCAAUGGUUGGUUCGUGUAAAUAAACAUAUAAUCAGAAUCAAGAUAUGGUUUCAUCUUCAUCAACACCUACUUGUUCUUGAUUGGGUCAAUGGGAUUUAGGGAUUGCAUUUUCAGUGUUUGGGUAUUCGGAGACUGGAUGAUUUUUAUAGGUGAUUGGGUUGUUUUUAUUUGAUUGUUGGUGUUGGCUGGUACUGCCCCCGUGCACUGGCUCAAGAUGUAGACAGCGACACGUGAGAGGGAUAUGAGGUCGACGAACGUUGCGGCUAAGGUGACAACGGGAUUGAUGUGGCCACCGGAGAUGGAAUCAGAUUCUUAAAAGAAAGUGAGAAGGAGAGAAGAAUAAGAAGGAAAAAUGAGAGAGAGAGAGAGAGAGAGAGAGAGAGAGAGAGGCAUAUAUUAAUUUCAAGUCGUGAGGGUUUAGGUAUUCAAUCCCGCCGCUGACUCUGAUUCGAUCCAGGUAUUCAAUCCCGCCGCUGACUCAAGUGCCCCAGCUUGAAAUGGUCCCAAACCCCCUGUUCUACUUACAGACCGAAAAAGAAUAUGAGAAAAGUGAGUCAUCAUUCCCAAGCUCCUUGAUUGAGUAUUCUAAAAAGAACAAAGAAAUGAUUUUACAUUUUUUACAGGCCAAGAUGAGGUCGAUGAAGAGAUGAUGAUCGCCAUGGCUGACAAGGUGGCUGUCGAUAGGGUCUGGGGGAUGGGGUGGGGAAGACGUUGAUUGCUAGGGUUUUUUUUUAUUUUUUUAUUUUGUUGCUUUUUUAGUUUUUAAAGAUUUAAUUAUUUUUAACGGAAAAUUGGAUGAAACUACAUGGAAACUAACGGCAGGGGGUAAAUUGACCAUUUAAAAUAGUAUGAUGGUUAAAUUGGCUGAAAAAAUAAUUCAUUGUGAACAUUUCGACAAGAGUUAUACUUCAGGGGGGUUUUCGGCAGUUUACCAUAUUAUUGCAUAUAUAGAGAAAAGUUAUCAUGUGUGUCAUUGUGCUAUUGGCUGAGGAUAGCAAAAAGUGUUAUUCCCGUUGCAUGAAAGUCUUUCUCCAACAACAUGCCUCUAACAAAUCCUCCUAUUAUGUUUAAGAAUAAGAAAUUGCAUUCAUUCAUAAAGUUGAACUGUUGGCUAUUUAUUUACUUGAAAUAAGGGAAGUCAUAAAUCAGGAAAGUCG
rnacentral:lncRNA from 1 species